rnacentral:rRNA from 1 species
CCAGACUCCUACGGGAGGCAGCAGUGAGGAAUAUUGGUCAAUGGGCGAGAGCCUGAACCAGCCAAGUAGCGUGCGGGAUGAAGGCCCUUGUGGUCGUAAACCGCUUUUAUCAGUGAAUAAAGUGCAUCACGUGUGGUGUCAUUGCAGGUAGCUGAAGAAAAAGGACCGGCUAAUUCCGUGCCAGCAGCCGCGGUAAUACGGAAGGUCCGGGCGUUAUCCGGAAUUAUUGGGUUUAAAGGGAGCGCAGGCGGGAGUGUAAGUCAGCUGUUAAAUAUCAGGGCCCAACUCUGUUAUGCAGUUGAAACUAUAUUUCUUGAGUACGCACAGGGAUGGCGGAAUUCAGGGUGUAGCGGUGAAAUGCUUAGAUAUCCUGAAGAACUCCGAUCGCGAAGGCAGCCAUCCGGAGCGUAACUGACGCUGAGGCUCGAAGGUGCGGGUAUCGAACAGGAUUAGAUACCCUGGUAGUCCGCACGGUAAACGAUGAAUACUCGCAGUUCGGUCAUUAUGAUUGAGUUGUCCAGCGAAAGCGUUAAGUAUUCCACCUGGGGAGUACGCCGGCAACGGUGAAACUCAAAGGAAUUGACGGGGGCCCGCACAAG